rnacentral:rRNA from 1 species
UACGUAGGGGGCAAGCGUUGUCCGGAAUCAUUGGGCGUAAAGAGCGUGUAGGCGGCCCGAUAAGUCCGCUGUGAAAGUCCAGGCUCAACCCUGGGAUGCCGGUGGAUACUGUCGGGCUCGAGUCCGGAAGAGGCGAGUGGAAUUCCUGGUGUAGCGGUGAAAUGCGCAGAUAUCAGCAGGAACACCCAGUGGCGAAGGCAGCUUCCUGGGUCGGCCCUGACGCUGAGGCGCGAAAGCGUGGGGAGCGAACGGG